rnacentral:rRNA from 1 species
CGGGACGCCAGAGAGGGUGAGAGCCCCGUAUAGUCGGCCACCGAUCCUCUGUAAAGCUCCUUCGACGAGUCGAGUAGUUUGGGAAUGCUGCUCAAAAUGGGAGGUAUAUCUCUUCUAAAGCUAAAUAUUGGCCAGAGACCGAUAGCGCACAAGUAGAGUGAUCGAAAGAUGAAAAGCACUUUGAAAAGAGGGUUAAAUAGCUCUUGAAAUUGUUGAAAGGGAAGCGCUUGUGACCAGACUUGUGCCGGGCUGAUCAUCCGGGGGGUCUCACUGGGGGUUUUUUACCCCCGCUCAGGCCCCCGU